ACGGAGGAUCCGAGCGUUAUCCGGAUUUAUUGGGUUUAAAGGGAGCGUAGGUGGGCUCGUAAGUCAGUUGUGAAAGUUCGCGGCUCAACCGCGGAAUUGCAGUUGAUACUGCGGGCCUUGAGUGCAGCAGAGGUGGGCGGAAUUCGUGGUGUAGCGGUGAAAUGCUUAGAUAUCACGAGGAACUCCGAUUGCGAAGGCAGCUCGCUGGACUGUUACUGACACUGAUGCUCGAAAGUGUGGGUAUCAAACAG
rnacentral:rRNA from 1 species